GUUAAAUUAAGGUAGAAGUACUAGUGCUCGAAGCUGCACUAGUAUUCGACAUGGGCACUUUAUGUCAAAGUGACAAGGAUUAAAUUUGAAUACAGAAAAAUCUUCGCUGUUCAAAUUUAACCUAUAUUACUUUGACAUAAAGUGCCCAUGUCGAAUACUAGUGCAGCGUCAAGCACUAGUACUUCUACCUUAUUUCUUUUACAAUAAUUUAAAUUUCAGCUGCAAACCAGAUUCAGAUCAGAUCUUCACAUGCCAGAGUACCUCUGUCAACAUCAAACAGUGAAAAUGCACAAACUUCAGCUACUGCAUCUACGAGUACAGGCCAAGCUUGUCUGAAAUCUGGAAUAAGCAUUCGACUGGAUAAAGCGGCAAUACCAGCUAAACGCCCCCGCUUUGCUGACAAACAACCUGGCGGAUCUAUAGGGAUACUCUAGUUCAGCGGUCGGCAACAAGCGGCCCUCUCACUCGCGGCCCGCGAGCCCCCCUGGCUAUUUUGUAUGUAAUAUUGUCAAACAACAAUGUCUGAUUAAAGUCACACAUAUUAACAAAAGUGCGGCCCGCGUCAACUUCCUUAACUACUAUGUGGCCCUUGGCUGCUAAAAGGUUGCCGACCGCUGCUCUAGUUCUUGCUUCUGAUAAUCGAAAAACGCAGCGAGCAAAUCAAAAGACUAGAUUACAAUACAACGAAGAAAGAAUUGCUGAAGAAGCUCAUGAAAGUGAAAUCGAGUUUACUUUAUUAAGAGUCUGCCUAAUAGGUAGCUUAGGACUUUAACCAGAUAAAUUGUUUUUAAAUCCAUCUUUGAAACAUGGUAUCAAAGAGAAUUUUAAAUAGAGAGUUACUGUCAUGGUAAAUUAUGUAGCUACAGUACCUACAUUUACUGCCAUCUUUCGACAGAAGAUUAAACCUGUUAGAACGCCAUUUGACUUUGAUCAUUAUUCUUUCACUGAUAUCACAGAAUAAGUAAUAGUAUUUGAUAUGUGUAAACUUGUUAAAUAUUAAUAUUAACACCAUCUACUCGAGAGUAGGCCAAAGGUAUGGUGUAAUCUUUUCGAGCGAUGGCGCCAUAACCUUUGGCCUACAGUCGAGUAGAUGGCGUUAAUUUCAAUAUUUAACAAAUUUACACAUAUCAGUGAAAUAAUAAAAGGGCUCAUUUAGUCGAUGCGACAACUCGCAUGCCAGUUCCAUUACAUUGCGGUUUUCGAUCGGGCGGUUGAAUUGGACUUAACCAACAGUCCGCAAUGUAGCUAAAAUCGCAUAUACGCUUCGCGCGCCGUCUUAAUCAGCCUUAUGGAUCAAAGUCAAAUGGCGUUCUAACAGUUUUAAUUUUCUGUCGAAAGAUAUUGGCAGUAAAUUUACAGUGGCUACAUAAUUUACUUUGACAAUCCGCCUCUAUACACUCUAUUUUCAUUGAUGGUAUCAAUGCACACCAUAUUUAGUACAGACUAUAUGUAACUAUGUUUGUACGGGUCAAAUCUUGCAAGUUAAAUUUGACCCACUUCCCGACUUCCAAUGAAGCUGGAAAUUUGUAUACAUAAGUAAGGCGAGACGCGAGACAGGAGGUGGCCAUAGGAACUCUGUGAUAAAACAACGAAACCUAAUUGUGUUUGGGGUUUAUAGAAUUGUCUCGAUGAGUACUCGUAUUAGUUGCCCGUGGAAUAAAAGUACAGUCAGCGAUAAAAGCUUGUACCAAAAAUAUUUUUUUUGCCAUAAACUUAUUAUUUUGGUUAAAGUUAGAUCUAUGGGUUCGUUUUGGUAGGGUCUUAACUGAAUGAGUUUUAUUUUAUGCGUAUUAACUUGGAGAUUGUGAUUCUGUAGCCAUUCUGCGUCAGGGGUUAAUGAGGAUCAGCUCAUAGCGUAAUAAUUAACACACACACUAUCACACACAGCCCACAGCUGAUACGGCUUAAAGUAUAUAAUAGACCUAGGUAUAUAUAAUUUCGACUGUUGAGUUGAGUGUGUGACGGUAAUUCAGUUAGUUCCUACUUCCUUUUUACAGUUAUAUUUGUGUUUACCUUAUCCUAUUUAAAUAUAUUAAUUCUAAGAUUAGUUUUUGAAAAAUCUUUAGACAAACAUGUUAGAUUUUGUAACGAGUACAGUGUAUCCGUUUGUAAAUUCUACCAGAAUAUAUUUUGUACAGUUCAGUGUUUAAAAACAAAGGUACAGCAUAUUUGUACAUUCAGUAUUCAAAUUGUGCAAUAAGAACAAAUAUGUAUAUAUAUAUAUACAUAUAUAUAUACCAUAUAUUAAGUCUGGCUAUUAAUUCAGCUAUUCAUAGUCUCACGUUCAUACUGCAUGUUUGGUACCUGGACGACGGCACCAUCAGCGGAGACUCACAUAUAAUACGGUUCUGGCAGACUUAUCCCUCUUCUUCAGUCGGUCCCUCAAUACUGAGGAUCGUGACAUCAUAUCCUUCUGUUGAAGACCAGGCUCCUCCAUAGGGUUCUGUUCUCCGCCAAGCGCAUGGCCUCGUGCAGUUUUAAUAGCAUAGGUGCCGUAAUUUGAGCACACCAUCUAGUAGGAGGAGGGCCCUGAGGUGUCGUGCCUUCAACUUUUCCCGUUAUUAUUACUCUUUCCAGGCUAUCCGGAGAGCGACGUGACUUAUCCCUAGUUAUACAGAAAUUUAGCGCCAUUGACCUGAAACUUGACUUCGACAAAUGUGAAUUGUACAUUUCCGAAAACGUAGAACCCUCUUUAGCAGCCCAGGUACUUCAAAGUUUUUCGAGUUUAGAUCAGAUUCAGAACGUUUAGUCAAAAUUAGUAGCCAUUCGGCCUUAUUUAUUUUAAAAUGUUGUUGUUGGUUCCCAAAUUUACGUACUUGCUCCGUUGCUGCGCUAUCUGGAAAGUCGCUAGUUUAGUCCAACCUAUCGAUAGUCUCCUUAAGUCACAACUGGAAUCGAUUUUGAAUGUCCAUUUUAAUGAACCGGCUUGGACCCAAGAUUCUUUGCCCAUUAGGUUUGGCGGUUUAGGAACACGCAAAAUAUCGAGUAUUGCUCUGCCGGCAUUCUUGUCCUCAAUCCAUAGCACGUCUGAUCUCGCAGGUAAAAUCCUUAAAAUAACAAACUGCGAGGUCGCGUGCUUGGAUGAGGCCAAGAAAGCCUGGCUAGCUAAACUGCCAGAUGUGCCACCUAGACCCGAGAGGCAAUAAGGGCCUGGGACAACUUAGCCCCCACUGCCGUUCUAAAAUCCCCAAUUGACACUUCGUCGGGAAGGGACCACGCAAGGCUCCUAGCUGUGACCAGAGUCUGGACAAUGACCCUUUCGAUUUCCAACUUCUGAACUCUACGCUGAAGCUAUGGGCCUGACUGUUCGGCAGUUAUUUUUGCACAGUAUCGUUUUGCUUACACACAAAUCGUCUACACUCAUGACUUGUUACGUCUCGCUUCUCAAAAACCGAAUCUUUAACCUACCUGUUCCAGAAGUCUUCUCCGCCUUCGGUAAACGAUUUGGGGACCACCUUAAGGCUUCAACCUACAGUGCCAUGCUAAAGCAUUGUUAUCUCAAAUCAAAGACAGAUCAGUUAUUUAGGCCAAAAAGCUUACCUACACUCUUCUUCAAUCACUUAACUACGUGGAAACAGCUAGAAGCUAUACUAAGUAAUAUUUUAUAAUGUACGCAAAUAUUUAAGUGUCAUUUUUAGUAAUUUUGUAACUUGCAUGCUAUACAUAUUAAGUAACUAAAUUCAGAUACUGCAUGUACAAAUCUAAA